rnacentral:lncRNA from 1 species
GGACUUGUGAAGUGAAUCCUCUGGGUUCCUCUACUUCGUGCUCUACGGCUUCCGUUCGGCUGCGCCGUAUUGUGUGGAUUAGUUCCGGAUUGUGGUUCUGCGGUCGUUUGGAGAUCGAGUCGAAGUCUUCGUGGUUUCGGUGCCUCUCUCCCCGUCGCUUGGUCGCAUCCAACCUUUGUCAGGUAUAAAGCUAGUUACCCGCUGUUCGCAGCAAGUUAUCCUUGUUCUUUUGAUCUACUGUCGUGAAGAUCGGGCCACCCUCGUGCCGUUUCAUAUCGGUAACCCAUCAUUACCUAAUUAUCCUAGAAUUAUUAUUUAAUUACUAAGUAAGGGUUUAUUAAUAUUUUAUUUAAACACUAUCCAAAUGUCACCAAAUUUUGUGUGAAAUCUGGAAAUGAUAUUCAGAGACUCCCCACAAAGUUUGGUGAUUUUUGGACAUACUAAUAAAUUAUUAAAAUUCCUAGAAGUUUUAUUCAUUAAAUAAAAGAGGUAAUUUUUAUACACUUGCAAACUAUCAAAAAACAGAACCUAAUAUUUUUCUUGGGUUCUACUUAUUCCAGGGAAUCUACACAAAAAUUUCUAUGAUUUUUGGAUCUACACAAGAUGUAUUACACAAAUUCAAAUAUAGCUCAAAAACUGCAUAAAAAGAAAAAAGAAAAACACUGCAGCGAGUGGCCAGAAAUCGGCCCGCAGGCCGGCCCGCUCCAGCUCGGCCC